GUCCAAACUCGAAUGACUAUCUCCUCUCCGCCGCUGCCAUCGCACCUCCGGCACGCAAGCAGACAUUGAAAAACCUUGAUUUGUCAGAGAGUAAUGGAGGAAAAAGAGAAUUUUUCUCCACCUCCUUCCCCUCAAGCGCCUCCUUUGCACCGCCUCCAGUGGCCUCUUCACGGUUCUCAACGGUUGACACGGCUCCUAUCACAGGCCCCGGUGACUUCUAUAGGGAGUUCGUGUUGGAAUCCAAGAAGCUUUGGUUCCUGGCAGGCCCGGGGAUCUUCU
rnacentral:sRNA from 1 species